rnacentral:rRNA from 1 species
AUUGAACGCUGGCGGCAGGCCUAACACAUGCAAGUCGAGCGGUAGCACAGGGAGCUUGCUCCUGGGUGACGAGCGGCGGACGGGUGAGUAAUGUCUGGGAAACUGCCUGAUGGAGGGGGAUAACUACUGGAAACGGUAGCUAAUACCGCAUAAUGUCGCAAGACCAAAGAGGGGGACCCUCGGGCCUCUUGCCAUCAGAUGUGCCCAGAUGGGAUUAGCUAGUAGGUGAGGUAACGGCUCACCUAGGCGACGAUCCCUAGCUGGUCUGAGAGGAUGACCAGCCACACUGGAACUGAGAGACGGUCCAGACUCCUACGGGAGGCAGCAGUGGGGAAUAUUGCACAAUGGGCGCAAGCCUGAUGCAGCCAUGCCGCGUGUAUGAAGAAGGCCUUCGGGUUGUAAAGUACUUUCAGCGGGGAGGAAGGUGUUGAGGUUAAUAACCUCAGCAAUUGACGUUACCCGCAGAAGAAGCACCGGCUAACUCCGUGCCAGCAGCCGCGGUAAGAC